UAUCAUUUUGGCUAAUAACCCACUAUUGCAACAUCCUUAAACUUUGAUUGAUCUCAAGGACAGUUUGCUCCGUAAGUGAACUCUUUUCCGCCAUUUUUGCUGUUCUUGCUGCUAAUUCAAAAUCGAAAGUCACCAAUUUUUACCUUCAGAUUUCCGUGACCUAGUGGUGAAACUUUGCAAGGACCGUAGGUGAUUCAGUUUCUUCAUUGAUUCUAAUCAUAUUCUUUACUGAGCUUCGAUCUAUAUCCGAUAUGCCUGAUUAAAUUUCUUUGAUAAUAUCUCUAAGUUCAUAGUUGAAGUUAUUAACUUAUUAUAGUUGCGCCUGCAAAUCAGAACUAUGGUUUAUUUAUCCCCUUUUGCCUGUAGAAUUUACACAAGGACUUGGAGGGUUUUACUAAUAUUGGUGGAAAAAACUUGCUUCCAUUAUGUUAUCGAUAUCUCUCAAUCUUAUUGCUUAUGUU